GUGGAUUAGAUACCCUGGUAGUCCACACUGUAAACGAUGAUAACUCGCUGUCGGCGAUACAUAGUCGGUGGCCAAGCGAAAGCGAUAAGUUAUCCACCUGGGGAGUACGACCGCAAGGUUGAAACUCAAAGGAAUUGACGGGGGCCCGCACAAGCGGAGGAACAUGUGGUUUAAUUCGAUGAUACGCGAGGAACCUUACCCGGGCUCGAACGGUGCAUGAAUGAUUCAGAGAUGGAUUAGUCCUUCGGGACAUGUAUCGAGGUGCUGCAUGGCCGUCGCCAGCU
rnacentral:rRNA from 1 species